rnacentral:rRNA from 1 species
UACGGAGGGGGCAAGCGUUGUUCGGAUUUACUGGGCGUAAAGGGCGCGUAGGCGGCCAACUAAGUCAGACGUGAAAUCCCUCAGCUUAACUGGGGAACUGCGUCUGAUACUGGAUGGCUUGGAUUCGGGAGAGGAAUGCGGAAUUCCAGGUGUAGCGGUGAAAUGCGUAGAUAUCUGGAGGAACACCGGUGGCGAAGGCGGCAUUCUGGACCGACGUUGACGCUGAGGAGCGAAAGCCAGGGGAGCAAACGGG